ensembl:lncRNA
ACUCUCUAAGAGUUGAUCACAGUUAGUUCUAAAUGUUCUAAAUGGAGUAUUUACUCUUCAAAACUACUGCAUUUCUUUUAUUUGGAUUUUGCUCGUGCCAAAAUGAGUUACUACUGAAUGGACCUCUGAAUGGAGCAGUAGGAGAGAAUGUGACGUUCAUGUUCAUUAAACCACCAUCUGCAACACCUCGGGGAAUCACCUGGCGUUUUAAAGGAAAUAGAGAGAUUCAAGUCUUCAAUUCAAUUGGCAAUGAAGAGGAUAUACAUGGUGAUUAUGUUGGUAGAAUCUCUGUGGACAAAACCACCGCUUCACUGGAGCUCAGGGGCCUGACUCUAAAUGACACUGGGCUGUAUACUGUGAGAAUCACCUUCAUCAGUGGUGGUGUAGAAAGCCAGGGAGACACAUCCCUCACAGUGUUUGGUAUGUACUUCUUAUACAUCCACUGAAUGAAUAGUAUUCAAAUAAUUUUACAUAAGAUGUAGUAUUAUGUUAUUUGUAAAUGGGACACAGAUAUGUUAUGGUGCUUAAAAUGGGCCAACAGAAAGCGAAAUAGGCUAGCAACUUUUGUGACAAUGUGACACCGUUGGUUUGUGAAUGUCUCUGGCAUUUUGAAAACAAACUCUUUGAAGACAGCUUACAGAAAAACCACUGUGUUGGGGUUAAUAAUGUAUGGCGGUUGCUGUAAAUGUUAUUUUACCUCUUCAAACUGGCAUGUUACAAUUGUCCUCGGCCACUGUUACAACUGACCCCGACACAUUAAAACUGCCCCCAGUAGCACU